rnacentral:sRNA from 1 species
GCCAGGUGUGGUGGCACACACCUGUAAUCCUAGCAGCUUGGGAGGCUAAGGCAGGAGGAUCUAAAGCAACUCAGUGAGACCCUGUCUUGA